rfam:Cuculus canorus isolate BGI_N303 unplaced genomic scaffold scaffold228, whole genome shotgun sequence.
UCAUCAUCCUGAACAGUGUUUCAAAUGAUUU